rnacentral:rRNA from 1 species
AUUUCUUUAAGAAAUAAUUUAAAGUACAACCUGCUCAAUAUUAAAUAUUUACAAAUAGCUGCAGAAUCCUCUGUACUAAGGUAGCAUAAUCAUUAGCCUUAUAAUUAAAGGAUAGAAUGAAUGGUUAAACGAAGUAUAAACUGUUUCUACUAUAAAAUUUAAUUUAUCUCAAAAGUAAAAACACUUUUAUUUUUAAAGAAAGACGACAAGACCCUAAUAAACUCAAACUUUAGCUGGGGCGGCAAAAUAAAUACACCUUAUUUAUUCUACAAAAACUCCUAAUUAAAUAUUAAUCAUCAAUUAGUUACUAUAGGGAUAACAGCGCUACUUAAGUUAAAAGAUCUUAUUAAAACUUAAAACUACGACCUCGAUGUUGAAUUAAUUUAACUUUAUAAAGCAAAAUUUAUAAAAGAGGGUCUGU